AUCCUCCAAGGCUAAAUACUCCUGAUUGACCGAUAGUGAACCAGUACCGUGAGGGAAAGGCGAAAAGAACCCCGGCGAGGGGAGUGAAAAAGAACCUGAAACCGUGUACGUACAAGCAGUAGGAGCCUCUUUAUGGGGUGACUGCGUACCUUUUGUAUAAUGGGUCAGCGACUUAUAUUCUGUAGCAAGGUUAACCGCAUAGGGGAGCCGUAGGGAAACCGAGUCUUAACUGGGCGAAUGAGUUGCAGGGUAUAGACCCGAAACCCGGUGAUCUAUCCAUGGGCAGGUUGAAGGUUGGGUAACACUAACUGGAGGACCGAACCGA
rnacentral:rRNA from 1 species